GUGCUUACUUCAACAGCAUAUAUUUUAAAACUAGAAUGAUACAGAGAAGAUUAGCAUGCCCCCUAAGCAAGUAUGAUGCACAAAUUUGUGAAAUGUUUCAUAUUUUU
ensembl:snRNA U6 U6 spliceosomal RNA